GAAAUGCGAUAAGUAAUGUGAAUUGCAGAAUUCAGUGAAUCAUCGAAUCUUUGAACGCACAUUGCGCCCCCUGGUAUUCCGGGGGGCAUGCCUGUUCGAGCGUCAUUUCACCACUCAAGCCUCGCUUGGUAUUGGGCGACGCGGUCCGCCGCGCGCCUCAAAUCGACCGGCUGGGUCUUCCGUCCCCUCAGCGUUGUGGAAACUAUUCGCUAAAGGGUGCCGCGGGAGGUCACGCCGCAAAACAACCCCAUCUCUAAGGUUGACCUCGGAUCAGGUAGGGAUACCCGCUGAACUUAAGC
rnacentral:misc_RNA from 1 species